rnacentral:tRNA from 1 species
ACCUUUUUAGUUUAAUUUUUGAAUAAUAUUUUGAAAAGAUAUAGGUUUGUUAGGUG